rnacentral:tRNA from 1 species
GGAGAGAUGUCCGAGCUGGCUGAAGGAGCGCGACUGGAAAUCGCGUGUACCACUCAAAAAGUGGUACCGAGGGUUCGAAUCCCUCUCUCUCCGCCA